AGCGAACGCUGGCGGCAGGCCUAACACAUGCAAGUCGAACGAACUCUUCGGAGUUAGUGGCGGACGGGUGAGUAACACGUGGGAACGUGCCUUUUGGUUCGGAAUAACUCAGGGAAACUUGUGCUAAUACCGAAUGUGCCCUUCGGGGGAAAGAUUUAUAGCCAUUAGAGCGGCCCGCGUCUGAUUAGCUAGUUGGUGAGGUAACGGCUCACCAAGGCGACGAUCAGUAGCUGGUCUGAGAGGAUGACCAGCCACACUGGGACUGAGACACGGCCCAGACUCCUCCGGGAGGCGGCAGUGGGGAAUCUUGCGCAAUGGGCGAAAGCCUGACGCAGCCAUGCCGCGUGAAUGAUGAAGGUCUUAGGAUUGUAAAAUUCUUUCACCGGGGACGAUAAUGACGGUACCCGGAGAAGAAGCCCCGGCUAACUUCGU
rnacentral:rRNA from 1 species